CCCUUAGAUGUUCUGGGCCGCACGCGUGCUACACUGAGUGGAUCAGCGGGUCAGGUUGCGCGAAAGUGUUUCCUAAUCUUGAAAUCCGCUCGUGAUGGGGAUUGACGGUUGCAAUUUUCCGUCAUGAACGAGGAAUACCUUGUAAGCGCGGGUCAUCAUCCCGCGCUGAAUACGUCCCUGCCCUUUGUACACACCGCCCGCCGCUCCUACCGAUUGAGUGGCCCGGUGAGGCUUUGGGAUCUGAGCGGAAAGAGCGUUUCGCUGUUUCUGCUCGGAAAACUCAGUCGAACCUUAUCAUUUAGAGGAAGGAGAAGUCGUAACA
rnacentral:rRNA from 1 species